UGAGGCUAAGUACAGCUUCCACAUGCAGGUUAAUGACUUCAAAGUCUAUGUUCUACACAGCCAGUUUCAAGCUCCUCAUCCUUUUGUGUCUCAAACUAUCAUGACAGAGCUUCAUGAGAGCCACACAGCAGGAGUGGAAACGUUCCUUCUCCUACUGAGGAGAUCAGGAAGUGAACUUCCACCUUUGGAUGAUUGUGAUCAUGAGCCCGCCCACUCAUGGACUUGGUCCUCUGCAGCACCUGCUCCUCAUCCCAUCCACCAUGCACAAUGAGGUGGUGAGUAGUCUUGACUGGUAAAGAUCUGGAGAGGAGAUCGUGAGUGUGGUUUAUAAGAGUUCUUGUCAUUCUUCACCGGAGGUCUGUCCAGACUUUUCUUACAGAAUCCAGCUGAAUUCCCUGUAUAAGAAAGGAUAUUUAUUAUUAUGUUAAAUUACAUGAUGGGGCUGAGGAGUCCAGCAAUAGCUGACUGGGCUCUGGAGAGCCAGAGAACCUGGUAGCUACUAAAUCGAUGCCUCAGCAGCCUCAAAGCCUUGUUGGAAGUCUGGGAAAGACCAAGGUAUUCAGUUCCUGUUGGAAGGCUGAAGAAGAAGCUGCUGGCAGCAGAGGAUGGCACCAGCUGCAGAUGCCCUCUCUCAGAGACAAGCAAGGGAUGAGAACUAAGUCAGAUCAGCGCCUCAACCUCAGCAUGCUAUCUAACUGGAUCCUGUGAGGAUGGAAAAUGAGGAAAUGGACACUCAGGGCUAAAGUCACAAAUUAAACAGAUUGUAAAGCCUGGCCCGUGAUCUCAGCUUCAGUCGUGCUCCAGCCAAGAAAGUUCCAGCUGCAUCAUCACAGAACAGCUCUUCUGAGCGUGCGGAGGCAAUUUGGAGCCUCCAGAUGUCUCCGGCUGAGCUCAAGAAGUGGAUUCAUCUUCUGUAGAUUGGAUUCGGUAAAGAAAAUGCCAGAAAAAUGCUAGUGCCAUCCUAAGAUUUGGGGUGAUUUUAGCAGCUGAGCUUGAUGACCUAAGUGCUUAUCUGUUACUGUUCUAGGGCCUCUUUAAAGACACUGAAUUGGCCACUACCACUUUAAGCACUAAAUACUUUUUCAAUACAACAGCAGAGCAGACUGGACUAACCAUGUUACUCUAGCCUGAAGCACAUGUUCCCGAUUCUUUUCAAUAUUCACUUUGCAACCCUGUUUUUAACAGUCUGGCAGCAGGUAGGAUACAGCUUUAUAGGCAGUCCUUUCAUUUUAUGGAGCCUUCCAUCUGAAAUAUUAGAGAGCUGGGAUUAGCGAUUUCACAGACACGAUUUCCAUCAUUCAUAAAUCUUUUAUCUUAAAAUUGAAGGCAUUAUCUUUAAAUGUGUUCCACAAAUCUUCCGUGGGAAUAGAAGGUCCUUUAUGCACUCUAUUUGAGGUGACUGGAUGUAGGAGACUUUAUGAAGUUGUUGGACCAUUAACUCUAGAUUUUGAUUUUUUUCUUCAUUAAAGUAAAAAUGAUGCAAUGAAUGUUUCGAAAGUGUGAUAGGGAAACUGGUGUCACCAAGGUAGUCCAGGUCUCCCGGCAGACUCCUAACUAUUUAAAAGCCAAAAAUAUGAAGGGUGUGCCAAAUGAGGAGUGCUUUAAUUUUUAUUUACAUUCUGCUUUCGGGGUGGCUGUGAUGACAGCCUCACCAAGACGGGUGAUCGGUAAAGAAGGUGUCCCGUCAGCAGAUCCCUCCAGGGCUCUGAUUCAAUCUUUGAGUUAUGAGAUGAGGACAAAAUGAACUAUUUUUCAAGCUUGUAAAUACGUGACAAAUGGCAGUGCAGGAACUAUUGAUUCCAAUCAUGAUGACACAAUGCUUCAUAGUCAAGCCCGACUCUGCCGUUACAGAUGGCAUGCAAGCUGAGCAGCGAACCCCUGCCUGACAGGUUUCCAACUGCAUCCGCCUCUGCGAAGAUUCCUGGCCACGUUUACCUCCAACCCAAGUAAAUUCUAAAAGAGAAAUGGACUUCAUUUUAUUUUUACAGUAAAAGAAUGUUGUUGAGUGACUGUCAAUACAGAACAAAACAGAGAAGCAGAAGCCUUCCAAGAUCCCAAUGCUUGUGUGCUCAUUCAUCUACUUUUUAGUUUCCUCAUCAUGUAACAGAUAUCAUUGCAAAAUACCUUUCAGGCAUAUGAAGCUUGAAAGAGUGAAUGAUCUGUAGGUACUGUCUAGUUCACGGACAGAUCCUAUUGAAACGUAUCUGAAGACAAAAAGCUCAGGAGGGUAGAAUUUGAGACAGGUCAGUGUUGAUGCACUCCUGUUUUGAGCAAGUAGAUGCUGUUAAUUGGGGGAGAACCAAUUAAUAAUGACAGGUGUUCACAUGGAAAGAUAUAUUCUCUUCUUUUCCUUAAAGAAUUUUAAAACUA